AUUGAACGCUGGCGGCAGGCCUAACACAUGCAAGUCGAACGAGUGGCGGACGGGUGAGUAAUGUCGGGGAAACUGCCUGAUGGAGGGGGAUAACUACUGGAAACGGUAGCUAAUACCGCAUACCAUCGGAUGUGCCCAGAUGGGAUUAGCUAGUAGGUGGGGUAAAGGCUCACCAAGGCGACGAUCCAUAGCUGGUCUGAGAGGGUGAACGGCCACACUGGAACUGAGACACGGUCCAGACUCCUACGGGAGGCAGCAGUGGGGAAUAUUGCAAAAUGGGCGCAAGCCUGACGGAGCAACGCCGCGUGUAUGAUGAAGGCCUUCGGAUUGUAAAGUUCUUUCAGCGGGGAAGCGUUACCCAAAGAAAAAGCCCCGGCUAACUCCGUGCCAGCAGCCGCGGUAAUUC
rnacentral:rRNA from 1 species